AUUGAACGCUGGCGGCAGGCCUAACACAUGCAAGUCGAACGAGUGGCGGACGGGUGAGUAAUGUCUGGGAAACUGCCUGAUGGAGGGGGAUAACUACUGGAAACGGUAGCUAAUACCGCAUACCAUCGGAUGUGCCCAGAUGGGAUUAGCUAGUAGGUGGGGUAAAGGCUCACCUAGGCGACGAUCCCUAGCUGGUCUGAGAGGAUGACCCGCCACAACGGAACUGGGAAAAGGUCCAGACUCCUACGGGAGGCCGCAGUGGGGAAUAUUGCACAAUUGGCGCAAGCCUGAUUCCGCCAUGCCGGGUGGAAGAAGAAGGCCUUCGGGUUGGAAAGUACUUUCAGCGGGGAGGAGGUUCCCGGAGAAGAAGCACCCGCUAACUCCGUGCCAGCAGCCGCGGUAAUUC
rnacentral:rRNA from 1 species